CAAGAACGUCGAGGAAUCGAGUCGUUGGUCGUCGUCGUCGCCGCCGUCGCGUUGCAUACUUAUCCGCCACCAGUGGCACAUUGCCAAAAAUCGGCUGUUUGGUCCUUUUUCAGCGCGCGCAGAACAAACCGCAGUGGAUGCGAUGCAAUAGUUUAAAAAAAAAGUACGUUUCGGCCAACCAUCAUCAUCACUACUACUACUACCACCACCAUCAUCACCAUCAGUACUGCUACUAACCGACUACUAACCAGCUGCAUAGUAGAGCCAAUAGAAAACAGAACAAAAACGAAACAGAAAAAAAAAGCGCAGAAAAAAAAAGGUGACAAUUAAAAGCUCCUUCUUCUCCCCGCGAAAA